rnacentral:rRNA from 1 species
CCUACGGGAGGCAGCAGUCGAGAAUUUUUCACAAUGGGCGAAGGCCUGAUGGAGCGACGCCGCGUGGGGGAUGAAUGGCUUCGGCCCGUAAACCCCUGUCAUUUGCGAACAAACCUUGUCAUUUAAAAGAUGACGAGCUGAUUGUAGCGAAAGAGGAAGGGACGGCUAACUCUGUGCCAGCAGCCGCGGUAA